UGGGGAAUAUUGCGCAAUGGGGGAAACCCUGACGCAGCAACGCCGCGUGAGUGAUGAAGGCUUUCGAGUCGUAAAACUCUGUCUUCGGGGACGAUAAUGACGGUACCCGAGGAGGAAGCCCCGGCUAACUACGUGCCAGCAGCCGCGGUAAUACGUAGGGGGCAAGCGUUGUCCGGAAUCACUGGGCGUAAAGGGCGCGUAGGCGGUUUGUUAAGUCAGGUGUGAAAGUUUUCAGCUUAACUGGAAAAGUGCACUUGAAACUAACUUACUUGAGUACUGGAGAGGUAAGCGGAAUUCCUAGUGUAGCGGUGAAAUGCGUAGAUAUUAGGAAGAACACCGGUGGCGAAGGCGGCUUACUGGACAGAGACUGACGCUGAGGCGCGAAAGCGUGGGGAGCGAACA
rnacentral:rRNA from 2 species